rnacentral:lncRNA from 13 species
GUGUGUGUGUGUGUGUGUGUGUGUGUGUGUGUGUGUGUGUGUGUGUGUGUGUGUGUGUGUGUGUGUGUGUGUGUGUGUGUGUGUGUGUGUGUGUGUGUGUGUGUGUGUGUGUGUGUGUGUGUGUGUGUUUGUUUUCCCGCAUGAGAAGGGCACCAUUGAAAAGAUCAUCAUGAACUUUGCUAUGUCAGCCAAUAUAGUAAGUUACAAUUAGCCUUUUUAUUGGUAUGUGUAUACUUCACAAACAUCCUUUCCUGCUCACUGAAAGGCAGAUGUUGGCUACACUUGAUUACUGAUUUCUCUCUCUCUCUCUUUCUUUCUCAUUCACACACAACCACAGGACCAUUCACACAGUUCAGUCACUCAGCCCUAUCCAGUGGACAUGAUGCUUUCAAGGUCCUGCACAACCGCCUCCUACGACACCCUGAUGAGAAGCAAUAAGCCUGGCCCGUGACAGUAAGUCAAAAUACCUGUCUAACACUGCUGUACCAUACUGUUCUGAAACAAUAUGACUCUAGAACAGUUUUACAAUGCUCAGCAGUGAUUAUUGAUCUCUUUCACUCUAUAUCUCUCUCUCUCUCAUCUUCACAGCUGACUCACAGAUGGUAUGUAGCCUGGUUGAUGGCACCUGCAGGCCUGUUUGAGGGGACAACUGGACAGAACAUAUCAGAAUGCUUGGACCUCAGCUGAGACCCUCCUCUCUUUCCUCGUCCUUCAAGCUGCAGAUAUAAAGGACAAAUUCCGCAUCAUAGGAUUAAUGUGCAGCAAGCAGGUCAAGAAGGUGGAGGUCUCCUGGCUGUCAGGGGCAGAGGCUGAUGCUGCUUACACCCUUAGAUGGGUACACUUCAUCCAGCUGGACUUCCCGGGGGACAUAUUUAGACCAUGGUAAAGCUAAAACAAUGUGGCCACACCUUCAUCUCCAACUACAAGACCGGAAGAUGAUAAAACGCACAAAGAGCCCAGAAGACCCUCUGCAGUGCAAUGGACCAAGCACACAGUGGGUCAAGUCCCGAUGGAAAGACACCCCAGACCUCCAGAAGGAGUCCAUCCCAAUGGAUAUCCAGCAAUUGCUGCUAAAGUAUCUUUUUCAAUAUUUAAGUAGUGUGUGAGAAUUGAGAGAGGAGAGAUAUUGAAAUUAUGAAUUAAAUGUUUAUUUGUGUUCAUGUAUUUAUUGUGCAUACAUUAAUAAAUUAUAAAGUCGAUUAACCUACAGUUCUGACUCAUUACACUAUACUUACAUUUUUUAUGAUGGAUAAGUAAAAAAUUGUAAAAAUAAUGCAAACGUUGACAUAAUAGUUUCUGAAAUAAUUAGGGUUACAGCAAGAUGGUGUUAAUGUGACAAUGAUUAUUGGAAAAGUUUCCACUGCCAGCUGACUGCACCAUCCGGCAAGUUGAAGUAGUCUUUCUUCUCGUCUCUGACAUUCUUGGUUUCACUGGCGUAGUUAUUGCUGGAACCUCCCCUUAUAUCCAGAAUGGACUCUGUAGCGCUACUGGCCAGGCACCACCACUCCACUCCCCACUUCCUCCCUGUCUAACUCUGGAGGUGAGUACACCUGUUUUGCGCUCUUCUGCAAUCAGGAAGUUGUGAAGAGCCGUUGCGGUCAGGACGGGAUCUGAACACUCUCCAAAGGCAUCUUUCACACAGCGCCUUGCUCUUGGAACCCUUGCAACAAAAAAAACAUGGAAUGAUUAUUCAAUAUCCACUCGUCUCACUCCUGGAUACGCAACAGGUUGUAAGCGCUCUUGAGAUCUAGUUUAGUGUAGAAGCACGCCCGUGCAUUGACUCAGUCGCUGUGGCGAUGAGCAGUUGCGGGUAACUGUGCCUCACAGUUAUCUGGUUCAGGCCUCGAUAGUCAAUACACGGGCGCAGACCUCCCUCCUUCUUCUUCACAAAAAAUAAACUUGAGGAGGCGGGUGAAGGACCGAAUGUAACCCUGACGCAGGGAUUUGGAGACAUAUGUUUCCAUAGCCGCCGUCUCCGCCUGUGACAGGGGAUACACGUGACUCCUGGGAAAUGCGGCGUCUACCAGGAGAUUUAUCGCACAAUCCCCCCGUCGAUGGGGUGGUAAUUGAGUCGCCUUCUUUUUGGAGAAGGUCGAGAGCCAAAUCGGCAUAUUUGGGGGGAAUGCACACGGUGAAAACCUGGUCUGGACUUUCCACCGUAGUCGCCCUAACGGAAACCCCUAAAUACCUCCCCGAGCACUCCCGCGACCACCCCGUGCGACCACCCCAUGACAGGCUAACCAGGGUAGGCCUAGCACCACGGGAAACGCAAGAGAGUCAAUGAGAAAGAGACUGAUUCUCUCCUUAUGACCCCUCUGCGUCAUCAUGCCCUGGGGAGCGGUGGCCUCCCUGAUCCACCCCGACCCCAAUGGUCGACUGUCUAACGCGUGAACUGGGAAGGGCACAGCCACUGGAACAAUGGGGAUCCUAACCUAUGAGCGAAUGCUCUGUCUAUAAAUUCCCAACCGCACCUGAAUCGACGAGCACCUUAUGCUGGGAAUGCAGGGAAAACUCAGGAAACAUGAGGGCAACCGAGGGCUCUGGGUGAGAAUGGUGCCGACUCACCUGAGGUGACGCUAAAGUGCCCUGUCUGCCACCUCGACUCCCAGAGGAGCCAACCCGGCACCGACCGGCAGUGUGACCUCUGCGGCCACAGAUGGUGCACGUGAAAGCCCCCCCUCCGGCCUCCCUGGGCGCAGUACCUCCCAGCUCCAUAGGCACCAGUACAGUGGUGCUGGGGGAGGGA